CCAUGAUCCUAUGCUGCCGAGAAAAGCCUCUAGCGAGCUGGUACAUGGCCCGUACCCCAAACCGACACAGGUGGUCAGGUAGAGAAUACUAAGGCGAUCGAGAGAACUGUGGUUAAGGAACUCGGCAAAAUGCCCCCGUAACUUCGGGAGAAGGGGGACCAGUCCUGGUGACGACAUUUACUGUCUGAGCUGGGGUUGGUCGCAGAGACCAGAGAGAAGCGACUGUUUACUAAAAACACAGGUCCGUGCGAAGUCGUAAGACGAUGUAUACGGACUGACGCCUCCCCGGUGCUGGAAGGUUAAGAGGACCGGUCAGCCACUUCGGUGGCGAAGCUGAGAAUUUAAGCCCCAGUAAACGGCGGUGGUAACUAUAACCAUCCUAAGGUAGCGAAAUUCCUUGUCGGGUAAGUUCCGACCUGCACGAAUGGCGUAACGACUUCUCUGCUGUCUCAACCACAGACUCGGCGAAAUUGCAGUACGAGUAAAGAUGCUCGUUACGCGCGGCAGGACGAAAAGACCCCGGGACCUUCACUAUAGCUUGGUAUUGGUGUUCGGUUCGGUUUGUGUAGGAUAGGUGGGAGACUGUGAAACUCGCACGCCAGUGUGGGUGGAGUCAUUGUUGAAAUACCACUCUGACCGUAUUGGACAUCUAACCUCGGACCAUGAUCUGGUUCAGGGACAGUGCCUGGUGGGUAGUUUAACUGGGGCGGUUGCCUCCCAAAAAGUAACGGAGGCGCCCAAAGGUUCCCUCAGCCUGGUUGGCAAUCAGGUGUUGAGUGUAAGUGCACAAGGGAGCUUGACUGUGAGACGUACAUGUCGAGCAGGGACGAAAGUCGGGACUAGUGAUCCGGCACCGGCAAGUGGAAGCGGUGUCGCUCAACGGAUAAAAGGUACCCCGGGGAUAACAGGCUGAUCUUCCCCAAGAGUCCAUAUCGACGGGAUGGUUUGGCACCUCGAUGUCGGCUCGUCGCAUCCUGGGGCUGGAGUAGGUCCCAAGGGUUGGGCUGUUCGCCCAUUAAAGCGGCACGCGAGCUGGGUUUAGAACGUCGUGAGACAGUUCGGUCUCUAUCCGCCGCGCGCGUAAGAAACUUGAGGAAACCUGUCCCUAGUACGAGAGGACCGGGACGGACGAACCUCUGGUGUGCCAGUUGUUCCACCAGGAGCACCGCUGGUUAGCUACGUUCGGAAGGGAUAACCGCUGAAAGCAUCUAAGCGGGAAGCCUGUUCCAAGAUGAGGUUUCUCACCACCUAGCGUGGUUAAGGCCCCCCACAGACCAUGGGGUUGAUAGGCCAGAACUGUAAGCACAGCAAUGUGUUCAGGUGACUGGUACUAAUCGGCCGAGGACUUAC
rnacentral:rRNA from 1 species